UGUUCUGUGGCGGAGUUGGUUAACGCGACCUGUCUAGCAAACUUAGGGAGACGUGGGUUCAAAUCCCACAAGAACUA
rnacentral:tRNA from 1 species